rnacentral:rRNA from 1 species
GACAGAGGAUGCAAGCGUUAUCCGGAAUGAUUGGGCGUAAAGCGUCUGUAGGUGGCUUUUCAAGUCCGCCGUCAAAUCCCAGGGCUCAACCCUGGACAGGCGGUGGAAACUACCAAGCUGGAGUACGGUAGGGGCAGGAGGGAAUUUCCGGGUGGAGCGGUGAAAUGCGUUGAGAUCGGAAAGGAACGCCCGUGGCGAAAGCGAGCCCCUGGACGUCUACUGACGCUGAGACGCGAAAGCCAGGGGAGCGAACGGG